ACUGGGGCACGAACCCAUGUCCCCUGCAUCGGCAGGCGGACUCUCAACCACUGUGCCACCAGGGAAGCCCUUGAUUCUCUUUUUGAUGGUUGAUUUUUCAGUGAAAAGUACAUGCCUUUUAAUUCCUACAAAAUGGCAAGGAAGAAUAAAUUCUCUGUAAUUGUCACUUCUUAAUGGAAUUAGAAACAAAGUAUGAAUGCAUCAGAGAAAUGAACAAAAGGGAUAGCACGCUAGAAGUUGACAGAGUUCAGGAGUAUGAGAAGAGAGGAAGGCUGCUGGAUAUGGAAAGUCAAAAAUGCAUAAUGAAGCAAGCAUGAGGUCACAGAAGAAAGUAGAUGGGUUUUAGAAAUGUUGGAUCAUUGAAACCACGGUGAAAAUUUCAACCAUAGGAACCAAUUAGGCUUGAUGACCUAUCUGUACAAUCACUCUCAGCUCUGAACUGUGAUUUCUGCUAACACCCAGCCGACCUACUGAACAACAGUUCAUAUAGGAAAAUAGUUUUAAAUUACUUAGUACACGAGGCCAACAAGAUACUUAGAGACUUUUCUGGAAAAGGAGAAAAAGGCUCUUACUAGAUCACUGGUUAUUUCCAUGUGGGUUGUUUCCAAAGAGUUGGGACACUUUUCCCACCCCCAAGCUGCUGGAAUUAAGGAUUUUAAAUAUUUUCUCUGCAGUCCUGCUUAGCCCAGUUUUUAGCCCAGAAUAUGAAAUCUUAUUGAAUAUCUUAGCCUGUUCAGGCUGCUGUUAAAAAAAAAAAAAAAAAAACCAUAAAAUGAGAGUCUUAUAAACAACAAGCAUUUGUUUCUUACAAUUCCAGAGGCUGGAACCGAGGUCAGGGUGCCCUCAGGGUCAGGUGAGGGCCCUCUUCCAGGCUGCAGACUUCUCGUUGGAUCCUAGCAGGGCAGAAGGGGUGAGGGAGCUCACUGGGGUCCCUUCAGUAAGAUCACAAAUCCUAUUCUUGAGGGCUCCACGUUCACGCCCUAAGCACCUCCCAAAGCCUCACCUGCUAAUGCCAUCACAUUGGCCAUUAGGGUUUCAACAUAUGAAUUUGGCAGGGAGGCGGGGACACAAAACUCCAAACAGAGCAAUGAACAAGGCUGUAUUCAUAAGAUAAAAUACAUGUGAUAACAGGAGAGGCUGUUUAAGCUCUACUUGCUAAGGUUUCAUGAUUACCUCUUAAACUAUAGAAAAAAAUUAUUCAAGGUAAUGCACUAUGAUCUUGUCCCUGGAGUUUAAACAAAAUCCCACCAUCGUCAGACUGCAGGCUGAUGAGGUCCCCAAUGCCCCUUCUGAGUUACAAAGCCCUCGGUUUCCAUGGCUCGAGUGGAAGUUUAUGUGUGUUUAGAGUUUCAUCUGCUGUGGAGAAGUGAUCAUUAAAAAACACCCGUCUUUUAAAAAUAUCUACUCUGUAUGCAUAAUAUUAAACAAAAAACUAUGGGGUAGAGAGAGGAGUGUUUUCAAUGGAUAAAUUAUCAGGUGUUUUAACAACAUCCCAGAUCUUUUUAGCCAAAGCAGUCUAAUUACCUGCAUUUUUAGCAUGCCUGCCCCCCCAGUCAGUGAUCUACUCAUUCUCUUCUCCUCUCAUGCAUUCAUUCACUCACUCGUUUAUUCAUUCAAUAAACAUUUACUAGCGACACAGCAUCAGUCAAAUGGACUCUGCCCUCGGGGAGGUCAGAGCUGGCCUAGAAUUCAGCCUGGGUGCUAUGCGAGCAUCUAAAGCAGACCAGGGAGCCAGGAAGGUCUCCUGGAGGAGACGAACCUUGGGCUGCGUUUUCAGGGGCACAAUAUACAGGGUGAGUGUUUCAGAUAUGGGUGCCACCUAGAGGAAUGGGGGUCUUACACCAAAACUUGUGGUUCCCGUGGGGAGCAGAGAAGGUGAUGCCCUAUCUUCCUAUUCCCGUAUCUUCCCACGUGUUCUUCCCUUGCCUAGAAUACUCUCCUCCCAUUUUUUGCCUGAGUACUAAUUCUCCCUGGAUUCUGGUUUUUCUUAUGUUCCCAGAAUUUAGGACCAUGCCUGGCCCAUACAGAUGUCCAAUAAAUGCUGUUAAAUGAAUGACUGACUUUAAUGCAGUACAGUCAUCAUGGACUCAGACGAGUCUGUCCUAACUUUCCUAGAAAGAAGUAGCUGCUCUUCCUUUUAACCUGAUAGUGGUCCGCAGUUUCCUGUAACACAGAAUUUGUUUUUGGCACUGCAUUGCUGGUUUGCUGUGACCCUGCUAGACAGCGAACGCCAUGAGGGCAAGUAAGGCAUCUUUCAGCUCUGAAGCUGCAGCAUCUGACACAGGGCUUGUCAUGCCAUUGGUGCUCAAUGAGUGAGCGAUGUGAGGAGGAAGUGGUCCGGUGUCUCUCACAUAAGCAUGCUGAGAAGGCAGUUCCCCAGGGCAGGGCCAGAGGCUGUUCAUGCAGACCCCAGUGCCCCUUUAGCUGUGACUGAUGGGGGAGGCUGCAUCUCUCUGGGCAGAGCCACGGUGCUGCAAGACCAAGGAGUGGCCGUACGAUGGCCCAUGUACUGCCCGAGGGGCCACUCCCACUGUGGUCCACAACACUGCACGGCCCUUGCCUCAUGCCACCUUGUCCGGAGCUCCAAGUUGCCCAGGUGGACCCACACCUGUCCCAGGCUCUGCUUUUGGUGACAGGGGUGGUCUGGGUGGGCAGCCCGAGCCCAGGCAGUGACUGCCCCCCUCCUGAGCUUUUCUGUUUCCUGUUGCAUCUCUCAUCCUAAUCUCUCAGGAAGCCAUCCCUCUAGGUGUUUGGGUCUGUUUGGACUUUCGUUCCAAAAAUAUUUGUUACUUAUUAUGUGCGUGGUAUUGCCUAGUUGCCAUGGUAACGUCUGCGCUGCAGCCACACCCAGGGGUGUGAGAUGUCUCCUUUGGAGCAUGAUGUAGAGGGAACUGGGUCUGAGCUCAGUCCCACAGCCAGGGUCUCUCCUCACGACCCCUACACUGGCACUGGGUAUCGACUCACCAAGGGGCAAUGCCCUGGUGUCUUGAAAUAAGGCAUCAUCUCAUUUUUUCCAUUUGGUAUCAUUACUGAGCAAAGGCAAACACCCCUGAGACUUAUAAGAGAAAAGCCAACACCUCACUCCCCAAAAUAGACAUAAAACCUGACCAUCUCUGUUGAAGCUGCAAUUAUGGAAUCCUGGGGUUUGAAAGGACCUUAGAGGUCACUUAGUAUAUAACCACUUCAAUGCACAGAUUCUAUUCUCUGCUAAGCCAGGAGCCAGCAUACGCUUGAAUACCUUCAGCUUAAGGGAACUCGAUACUUUAUAAGGUAGCCCGUUUCAAGGUUGGAGAGCUCUGACCUUAAAUUUGUUUUUUUCCCUUUAUGAGCUGAAAUUGGUCUUUCUUGACAUCCUACCCAUUAGCCCAGUUUCUAAGCUUUUGCACCACUCUCUGAGUUAUCCAUGGCACCAGAACAAAAUUACCACAAACUCAGCAGCUUAAAACUACACAUGUAUUAUCUCUCAGUGUUUGUAAGUCUCGUGAGGCUAUAGCAAGGUGGUAGCUGUGCUAGGGUCUCAUCUGAAAGCUUGACUGGGGAACAGUGCACUUCCAAGGACACACGGUCUCUGCCAUGUUUCUUGCAGGUUGUUGGACUAAGGCCUCAGUUCCUUGCUGGCUGUUGGCCAUUUCCACGUAGGCGCCUCUAUAGGGUAGCUCAUGGCUUGGCAGCCAGCUUCCUCAAAGCCAGCUAGGGAGAGAGACAGCCUACCAGAAGUUAUGGUUGGUUACCAGCAAGUUACUCAAAGAGAGGGGGUUUUAUCGGCCUGAAUACCAAGAGGAAGGGAUCGUGGGAUCCAUCUUAUCGUCUGCCUGUUACAGCCACACAGAAGGAAUCUACUCUCUCUCCCACACAAUGAUCCUUCUAACACUUGAAAGUAAUUCUUAUGACUUGCGCACCUUUUUGUCCUGGCUACACCCAAGUGAGUAUCCUCACCAUCCCAACCACUGUCCUCAGAAUUUGCUUUGCUGUGUAUCUCAAAGUGGGGAUACACUCAAAGAUACUGAUACACUUUGCGUUUCAGUGUCUCAAACUGAAACUCAGUUCAGUCCUCUGGCUGGAACUGACUAGGGUGGAGUGGGACCCCCUGGGAGCAUAAGCCCUGGGAGACCCACAGCUCCUCCUACUAAUUAAGGCUUGAUUUCAAACAUAGACAUUCGAGGAGCUCAGCCACUUGCUGGGGAAGAGUUCUGGUGUCAGUGCACUGAAUUCAGAUUAACAGUCCUAUUAAUGUUUUGGAGCAAACAUUCCAGAGAUCUUAGAGUAGUAUGCGUUUUUGAAUAUGAAAAUUGGAAAAAUGAAUAUCUUCCCCCUCCUGUAUCCUGUCGCCCACCAAUCUAGUGAAUAGUUUACUCUAAACACAGAUUGAUUUUUUUCUCUCUAGAGUAUUGAACAAAUAGAACAACUUUUCAUGAAAAUAGACUAUGAAGCAGUGGGUAGAAUUCAGUGGGUAAGUUGGGUUGUGUUUUGUGAGUCAGACUUGAAGUUAGUGAGGAAAAUGUAUAAAAUGUUUGGUUCUGAGCCUUUCUGGAGUAUCCUAUGCCCCUCAGUACCCUUGCCAAGUUGAAGUUGAACCAAGGGGACAUGCAUAUUCACAAUUUUCAAGUUCUCGUAAUGUCAGGAUAUGCCUGGAAUAGCUUCACUAGGAAUUGCAGUAGCUCAGGCAAGUUCCAAGAAGGCAUUCCUAAAACCAGGAAAUGAAGGCUACAUCUGCCACCUUACCCAAAAGCAAAAGUGAAACACCGGUGAGCAAGAAAUCCUGCGAACAAGCAACACCUGGUGAUAAUCAGAUCACUGACACAUGGAAAGUGUUUAGAACAGGGGCAGCCACAGAGUAAUUUCUCAACAAAUGUUAUCAUCAUCGUCAUUAUUAAUGUUUCCCAAUUUGGGUUGUAUAAUGAGGAGCUGAGACAUCUGCUUUUAAAAUUCUCUGCCAUUGUGCAUCAGUAUCCUAUUGUUCUAGGAUGAAUCAAGUUCUAAAAUGACAAGCUGAGCGGCAUUCACCUCUAUUCAGACCUCGGGCCACUGCCCCAACCAAAGCAAAUACAGUGUUUUCACUGUCAUCUCAUUUGAAAGGGAACAGUCAGGAUUCCAGGGAAGAGAAGGGAAGACUCUAGUGAGUUAGGGCUUUGGGGGAAGCGGAGAGAAAAUGGAGAUGUUCCCAGGCCCUACAGGCACGCCCACCCCUUCCCCAGACCGCAGGUCGGCUUUUCCCUACGUGCACUGCCGAGAUUCGAAAUGAGGCAUACAUCCUGGUGGGUCAGAACUGUGCAGUCAGACCAAUGGGGGCUCAAGUCUCAGGCCAGCCACUUACUAGCUGUUUGAUCUUAGGCAGAUUAUUUAACCUUUCUAGGCUUGAGUUCCCCAAUUUGUAAAAUGAGGAGAGUAACAGUACCUACCUUAUCCAGCUAUGGCAAGAACGGAGGUGAAGGUCCACAUUGCACGGAACAGGGUAUGUGCUCAACCCUCACCAUCAUCUUUAGACAGAGAGACUGGGCAGGGAAGCGAGACACUGAGUAGCAAAUUUCCAGCCCUAACCGAACAGGCGCACCCCAGUUAUUAGCCCCGAGGUUUUGGCAACCAAGUUCACAUCGAUAAGCUACUAAUUAUGUCAAGACUUAUCCAUGUCCUGAGGAUAAAGAGAAUUUUUGAAAGACAGUAGACGUUUACUGAAUUUUCCUUUCUUACCAGGAUGGCUUCUGCACGUACCUGCAGUUAGUGUAUUCAGAGCAAGCUGGUGCUCUGGCUCGCCAGAAAGAGGUUUCCUCCCAGCUGCCUGCUGUGCUGCGAGGGCUGUCGUAUGGGGGUCCCGUGCUGUGCAUUCUCUCUGCGCCUGACGACACCUUAAUCAUGAUCAGAGAAGAUGGGGCCGUUUAUUUCUGGUCCCUGCAGCUGAAGUUGAAAAGAAGAAAGCGGGUUUUUGUAUGUGAUUCUCAUUUGAUAAGGAUGCUGAGUGCUCCAGUUUGAUUUUAUUUGCUAUUUUAAACUGCUCCUCGAGUGGCAUGAUUACAGAAAUUGUGUCCUUGAAGAUAAUAUAUUCAUGUUGGAUUUUGCCAGUCUAUGGAAUGCAAAUAAAAUAUGAUCUCUAUAUGUA